CGUCAUAAUCAUAACUGUAUUCAUCAGCUAACUCAUCAUUCUCACGCAACAACUCAAACGAUGAAUCUGCGUCAGCUUCUAAGCCUCCAUCAUUUUCUACUGUCGCCAUGCGGACACCCUCACUGUUGUCUUUACUGUCCGAAUGGCUGUCCACAGAUUCUUUCGAACCAUCCUCUUCCAGAAGUCGCCUCCCACUUUUG